rnacentral:rRNA from 1 species
ACGGAAGGCAGCGGUAGGGAAUAUUGCACAAUGGGGGGAACCCUGAUGCAGCAACGCCACGUGUGGGAAGAAGCAUUUCGGUGUGUAAACCACUGUCGUGAGGGAAUAAUGCUUGGCUCCGGCCAAGUUGAAUGUACCUCGAAAGGAAGCACCGGCAAACUUCGUGCCAGCAGCCGCGGUAAUACGAGGGGUGCAAGCGUUGUUCGGAAUCACUGGGCGUAAAGGGAGCGUAGGCGGAGACGCUAGCAGUCUGUGCAAUACCGGGGCCCAACCCCGGACCUGCAGACUGGACUGUGUCUCUUGGAUAGUUCAGGGGCAGGCGGAAUUCCUGGUGUAGCGGUGGAAUGCGUAGAGAUCAGGAAGAACACCGAUGGCGAAGGCAGCCUGCUGGGGAAUCAUCGACGCUGAGGCUCGAAAGUGCGGGUAGCAAACAGAACUAGAUACCCUGGUA